GGAUCCAGACUUUGAUCCUGGCUCAGGAUGAACGCUAGCUACAGGCUUAACACAUGCAAGUCGAGGGGAAACGACAUCGAAAGCUUGCUUUUGAUGGGCGUCGACCGGCGCACGGGUGAGUAACGCGUAUCCAACCUGCCCACCACUUGGGGAUAACCUUGCGAAAGUAAGACUAAUACCCAAUGAUAUCUCUAGAAGACAUCUGAAAGAGAUUAAAGAUUUAUCGGUGAUGGAUGGGGAUGCGUCUGAUUAGCUUGUUGGCGGGGUAACGGCCCACCAAGGCUACGAUCAGUAGGGGUUCUGAGAGGAAGGUCCCCCACAUUGGAACUGAGACACGGUCCAAACUCCUACGGGAGGCAGCAGUGAGGAAUAUUGGUCAAUGGACGAGAGUCUGAACCAGCCAAGUAGCGUGCAGGAUGACGGCCCUAUGGGUUGUAAACUGCUUUUAUAAGGGAAUAAAGUGAGUCUCGUGAGACUUUUUGCAUGUACCUUAUGAAUAAGGACCGGCUAAUUCCGUGCCAGCAGCCGCGGUAAUACGGAAGGUCCGGGCGUUAUCCGGAUUUAUUGGGUUUAAAGGGAGCGUAGGCCGGAGAUUAAGCGUGUUGUGAAAUGUAGAUGCUCAACAUCUGCACUGCAGCGCGAACUGGUUUCCUUGAGUACGCACAAAGUGGGCGGAAUUCGUGGUGUAGCGGUGAAAUGCUUAGAUAUCACGAAGAACUCCGAUUGCGAAGGCAGCUCACUGGAGCGCAACUGACGCUGAAGCUCGAAAGUGCGGGUAUCGAACAGGAUUAGAUACCCUGGUAGUCCGCACGGUAAACGAUGGAUGCCCGCUGUUGGUCUGAAUAGGUCAGCGGCCAAGCGAAAGCAUUAAGCAUCCCACCUGGGGAGUACGCCGGCAACGGUGCAACUCAAAGGAAUUGACGG
rnacentral:rRNA from 1 species